ACGGAAGGCAGCAGUGGGGAAUAUUGGGCAAUGGGCGAAAGCCUGACCCAGCAACGCCGCGUGGAGGAAGAAGGCCUUCGGGUUGUAAACUUCUUUUACCAGGGACGAAGGACGUGACGGUACCUGGAGAAAAAGCAACGGCUAACUACGUGCCAGCAGCCGCGGUAAUACGUAGGUUGCAAGCGUUGUCCGGAUUUACUGGGUGUAAAGGGCGUGUAGGCGGAGCUGCAAGUCAGAUGUGAAAUCCCGGGGCUCAACCCCGGAACUGCAUUUAAAACUGUAGCCCUUGAGUAUCGGAGAGGCAAGCGGAAUUCCUAGUGUAGCGGUGAAAUGCGUAGAUAUUAGGAGGAACACCAGUGGCGAAGGCGACUUACUGGGCCGUAACUGACGCUGAGGCGCGAAAGCGUGGGGAGCGAACAGGAUUAGAUACCCUGGUA
rnacentral:rRNA from 1 species